rnacentral:rRNA from 1 species
UACAGAGGGGGCAAGCGUUAUUCGGAAUUAUUGGGCGUAAAGGGCGCGUAGGCGGCUUGGCAAGUGGAAGGUGAAAUCCCUCGGCUUAACCGAGGAACUGCCCUCCAAACUGUUUUGCUUGAGGCCGGGAGAGGUGAGUGGAAUUCCCAGUGUAGCGGUGAAAUGCGUAGAUAUUGGGAGGAACACCAGUGGCGAAGGCGGCUCACUGGACCGGUUCUGACGCUGAGGCGCGAAAGCGUGGGGAGCAAACGGG